UUCCUUUGUCAUCACGAGUGGAAACAUCAGUUUUAAAGGCAGUAUGUGUUGUGAUAGGCGACUUACCUUUGUCUUGAUAGCUUGGCUUAGGAGCAUAGGCCGGUUUAGGAGAGUAGGCCGGCUUAGAAGUAGUGGCCGGUUUUGAGAAACUCCUUCUCUUGAGUUGUUGCUCGAUCAAGAUGGCUUUGUGUAGCAUCUGUUCCACACUUCCAUACUCUUGAAGCUCCAUACGAUCUUGGAUGUCACGGUUGAGGCCUGAAAGAAAGCGAGCCAUAGUGGCGUCCAAAGGUUCAUCCGUGUCCGUUUUGGUCAUCAAAACUUCCAUCUCUUGAUAAUAGUCUUCCACAGAUUUGGUUCCUUGAAGCAAACGUCUU
rnacentral:lncRNA from 1 species